UACGGGGGGGGCAAGCGUUGUUCGGAAUUACUGGGCGUAAAGCGCACGUAGGCGGAUAUUUAAGUCGGGGGUGAAAUCCCGGGGCUCAACCCCGGAACUGCCUUCGAUACUGGGUAUCUUGAGUUCGGAAGAGGUGAGUGGAAUUGCGAGUGUAGAGGUGAAAUUCGUAGAUAUUCGCAGGAACACCAGUGGCGAAGGCGGCUCACUGGUCCGAUACUGACGCUGAGGUGCGAAAGCGUGGGGAGCAAACAGG
rnacentral:rRNA from 1 species